GAUGAACGCUGGCGGCGUGCCUAAUACAUGCAGGUCGAGCGAACAGACGAGGAGCUUGCUCCUUUGACGUUAGCGGCGGACGGGUGAGUAACACGUGGGUAACCUACCUAUAAGACUGGGAUAACUUCGGGAAACCGGAGCUAAUACCGGAUAAUAUUUCGAACCGCAUGGUUCGAUAGUGAAAGAUGGCUUUGCUAUCACUUAUAGAUGGACCUGCGCCGUAUUAGCUAGUUGGUAAGGUAACGGCUUACCAAGGCAACGAUACGUAGCCGACCUGAGAGGGUGAUAGGCCACACUGGAAAUGAGACACGGUCCAGACUCCUACGGGAGGCAGCAGUAGGGAAUCUUCCGCAAUGGGCGAAAGCCUGACGGAGCAACGCCGCGUGAGUGAUGAAGGUCUUCGGAUCGUAAAACUCUGUUAUUAGGGAAGAACAAACGUGUAAGUAACUGUGCACGUCUUGACGGUACCUAAUCAGAAAGCCACGGCUAACUACGUG
rnacentral:rRNA from 1 species